UUGAAAUAAACCUGAUGGGUUGUUGCUGGCUCUCCAGGGAGCAUGUGCACACCUUGUCAUCUUUAUAUCUCCACCUGUGCACUUUUUGUAGACCUUUUUAGGUCUAUGUUGCUUCAUUUACCCCCAAUGUAUGUUAAUAGAAUGUUGUGUUUAUAAAAUCUAUA
rnacentral:misc_RNA from 1 species